UGCCUUUCCUUAGGGGGUGGGGGUGCUCCACUUUCCAUCACUAACCACACCCAAUCAUGGUCCGCCACGUCAUCAAACUUGGUUCCAUCACUAGUGAUGGAUUUUAGUGGGGGUGCUCAUCGCCGGUGAAAGGUCAUUGAAGAGCAUUCGGGUACUGCCAUGUUUGCACACCAUGCAAAUCUCAACAAACUUUCAACGCGUGGUCACGAGGACCGGCGGCGGUGUUCCACGCGUGGUCACCUACCCACUGAUUAAAUGAGCUCAAAUAAACAAAAGAAACAAAAAGGCAGCUAAAUCUAACACAAAUACAAGAAAAGGAACAAACGUGGCAUGCCCGGCCUCCCGAUAGCAUCUUCCCAAGCAAAACAAGGAAACAGAGGGCUGAACACGCCCCGUGCUCAAUGAGAACGGGGGCGUGCCCAAGUGUCAGCAGAAAAGACAAAGUUGUAGAAGCUUCCAUCGCCCCCCACGGGGCCGUGCUCAGCGGACACGGGACCGUGGUCAACUAUAAGAUUCACAGAAUCCAGACAAAUCUUGAUAGUACAGAUAUGCUUCUGCACACGAGGUCGUGCUCAGCGGACACGGGGGCGUGGUCAACUGAUGCAGACAAACUGCAUUUAAUGAAGAAAGAGAGGAGGGUGGACAUGGGGCCGUGCCCGAGCUUCUGUUCAGCCUAUAAAUAG
rnacentral:lncRNA from 1 species